rnacentral:rRNA from 1 species
AGCGAACGCUGGCGGCAUGCCUAACACAUGCAAGUCGAACGAUGCCUUCGGGCAUAGUGGCGCACGGGUGCGUAACGCGUGGGAAUCUGCCCUUGGCUUCGGAAUAACAGUUAGAAAUGACUGCUAAUACCGGAUGAUGUCCCCCUGAGAGAUCUUGGGGACCAAAGAUUUAUCGGCCAGGGAUGAGCCCGCGUAGGAUUAGGUAGUUGGUGGGGUAAAGGCCUACCAAGCCGACGAUCCUUAGCUGGUCUGAGAGGAUGAUCAGCCACACUGGGACUGAGACACGGCCCAGACUCCUACGGGAGGCAGCAGUGGGGAAUAUUGGACAAUGGGGGGAACCCUGAUCCAGCAAUGCCGCGUGAGUGAUGAAGGCCUUAGGGUUGUAAAGCUCUUUUACCAGGGAUGAUAAUGACAGUACCUGGAGAAUAAGCGCCGGCUAACUCCGUG